CUACGGACGGCUGCAGUGGGGAAUAUUGGACAAUGGGGGCAACCCUGAUCCAGCGAUGCCGCGUGUGUGAAGAAGGCCUGAGGGUUGUAAAGCACUUUAGUUGGUGAGGAGAGGCCUAUAAUGAAUAGUUAUGAGAAGAGACGUUAGCCAAAGAAUAAGCACCGGCAAACUCUGUGCCAGCAGCCGCGGUAAUACAGAGGGUGCAAGCGUUAAUCGGAAUGACUGGGCGUAAAGGGCACGUAGGCGGUUAGAUAAGUUAAAGGUGAAAUCCCCGGGCUUAACCUGGGAACUGCCUGUAAGACUGUCUAGCUAGAAUAUAGUAGAGGUAAGUGGAAUUUCCGGUGUAGCGGUGAAAUGCGUAGAUAUCGGAAAGAACACCAGUGGCGAAGGCGACUUACUGGGCUAAUAUUGACGCUGAGGUGCGAAAGCGUGGGGAGCAAACGGGAUUAGAUACCCCCGUAGUC
rnacentral:rRNA from 1 species